rnacentral:misc_RNA from 1 species
CUGUUCGAGCGUCAUUACACCACUCAAGCCUGGCUUGGUAUUGGGCGCCGCGCCCCCGCGCGCGCCCCAAUGUCUCCGGCUGGACCGUCCGUCUCCGAGCGUUGCGCAAUCAACCCGCUUGCGAGGCCGGGGGGCUCCAUGCCGUCAAAACACCGUAACAGGUUGACCUCGGAUCAGGUAGGGAUACCCGCUGAACUUAA